rnacentral:lncRNA from 10 species
AAAUGCUGGGAAAGCAAGAGUUGAAUUGCUAGCCAUGAGGAAAACGUAAGCCUGAGCUGUUUGCUGGCCAUCUUUGCUUCCACAUGGGGAUGGCCUGCCUGGAAAUGAAGCCACACAGAGAAAACAGAAGAGCAGUGAAGAGAAGGGUAAAAGGAGAGAUCCCAUGACAUGAUUUGCACUCUUAGAUCCAGUUAUGCCUGAUGCAGGACCCACCCCUUGGACUUCCCAUUUCCAGGAGCUAAAACUAGACUGAGUUGAGUUUCUGUCACUGACAGUUGACAGAAAAUAUCAACAAUCCAGCCACAUGGAGCCUCAUGGCAGUACCACUAACCCUGGUCACCACAUGAAUACUGACCAGAGGCAUUUCACCUGAAUCAACUGUUUGUGUUCUUAACUCCAUCUCCUCAUCUGCUUCCUGGAAGACCCAACUGACAUAGAUGGUUACAAGAAAUGAUUUCCUCCUUAUAAAACUCUAGAUGUCAAUGUGAUCUUUCACAAGCACACUGAAAAAUUCACACCGUGGAAAAGAACUAAAGUCCCAUCCUAAUUCAUCAGAGCCUUCUGUUU